GACGAACGCUGGCGGCGUGCUUAACACAUGCAAGUCGAACGGAAAGGCCCUGCUUUUGUGGGGUGCUCGAGUGGCGAACGGGUGAGUAACACGUGAGUAACCUGCCCUUGACUUUGGGAUAACUUCAGGAAACUGGGGCUAAUACCGGAUAGGAGCUCCUGCUGCAUGGUGGGGGUUGGAAAGUUUCGGCGGUUGGGGAUGGACUGGCGGCUUAUCAGCUUGUUGGUGGGGUAGUGGCUUACCAAGGCUUUGACGGGUAGCCGGCCUGAGAGGGUGACCGGCCACAAUGGGACUGAGAUACGGCCCAGACUCCUACGGGAGGCAGCAGUGGGGAAUAUUGCACAAUGGGCGCAAGCCUGAUGCAGCAACGCCGCGUGCGGGAUGACGGCCUUCGGGUUGUAAACCGCUUUCGCCUGUGACGAAGCGUGAGUGACGGUAAUGGGUAAAGAAGCACCGGCUAACUACGUG
rnacentral:rRNA from 1 species